AUGCAGACGCAGAUAUGGCAAAAACGGAUCAAAACAGACGCGUGGUGUAGCGGUCUAGAUUGUUGCAGAGGGAGUGUGCGCAGAGGGCAGUAUGGAGGACGGCUGCUCAAGGAGGAUUUUGCCGGAUAUUGGUUUCGUGGUGGAGUUGUUGCGACGAGCGAAGUUCGACUCUGCAGAUUUGGGAGUGCAGUCGCGUGGGUGAGGCUUUGUGAAGGAGGUGAUCUCGCGGAUUUGUUGGAGUUAUGUGGCGCUGGGUGGUACAAAUUGGCGGGUGGCUCGCGGAUUUGUGGUGAUUUGCGGCAGAGAUAA